GUGCUCGCUUCGGCAGCACAGAUACUAAAAUUGGAACAAUACACAGAAGAUUAGCAUGGCCCCUGUGCAAGGAUGACACCCAAAUUCAUGAAGCGUUCCAUAUUUUU
ensembl:snRNA U6 U6 spliceosomal RNA